UUCUAUCAAGAGUUGUCUCGUAUCGGAAUUUUCUCUCUCUUUGUGAAAUAAGUUUGUUGGAUAAAGCUUAGGCUUAUUAUAAAAUACGUUUAGUAUCCAUUUCGUUAUUUUUCAAAGGUUUAAUAUAUAGAUUCAAUGACCAUAAGCCAGGUUCGAAGUUUUUGCACUGGAAAAGCGUAUGCUCAGCCGUGUCUUGCUCCGCACAAUACCAGCAUCAGUCAGUUUCCUGCUUACGAAUCCUCUUCAAGAAGGUCCCGAAGGUACCAUGGCCUGUUAUUGCCUGCAUAAGGUGGUAAUCACAGUAAGGCAGGGAUCCAUAAAUUUUUACAAUUUUUUUUGUAUUGUUGUUACAGAUCCGAUAUGUUUCUUAAAUAUUUUAAUAAAGUUUUUUACCGCAA